rnacentral:rRNA from 1 species
GAUGUGUACAUAUUUUAAUUUUAAAUCAUUCUAUAAAAUUAAAUAAAAUUACAUUUAAAUCCAAUUUCAAAUAAAUAUUACAAUUUAUUAUUCAAAAAUAAAUUUAUUGUAAUCCAUUAUAUUCUUAAAUAUAAACUAUAUCUUGAUCUGAUUUAAUUUUUAAUCUUAAUUUUAAAAUAUUUUAUUUUAUAAAAAAUAUUUUUUUAACAACGAUAUAUAAAUUUUUAAUUUAAGUAAAUUUAUUCGUGGAUUAUCAAUUAUUAAACAGAUUCCUCUAAAUUUACUAAAAUACCGCCAAAUCAUUUAAAUUUCAAUAAAUAAUUAUUUAAUAAUUU